rnacentral:rRNA from 1 species
UACGAAGGUGGCGAGCGUUGUUCGGAAUCACUGGGCUUAAAGCGCACGCAGCGGAAUAGAAAGUGUCUUGUGAAAGCCCCCGGCUUAACCGGGGAAUUGCUUGGCAAACUGCUAUUCUUGAGGUAAGUAGGGGUACAUGGAACUCUUGGUGGAGCGGUGGAAUGCGUAGAUAUCAAGAGGAACGCCAAUGGUGAAGACAGUGUACUGGGCUUAUUCUGACGCUGAGGUGCGAAAGCGUGGGGAGCGAACGGGAUUAGAUACCCUCGUA